AAUCAACGCUGGCGGCGUGCCUAACACAUGCAAGUCGAACGCGAAAGUCCCGCAAGGGGCAAGUAGAGUGGCAAACGGGUGAGUAAUACUUAGGAAUCUGCCUAUUAGUGGGGGACAACAUCUCGAAAGGGAUGCUAAUACCGCAUACGUCCUACGGAUGAAAGCAGGGGGUCUUUAUGAUCUUGCGCUAAUAGAUGAGCCUAAGUCGGAUUCGAUAGUGGGUGGGGUAAAGGCCUACCAAGGCGACGAUCUGUAGCGGGUCUGAGAGGAGAAUCCGCCACACUGGGACUGAGACACGGCCCAGACUCCUACGGGAGGCAGCAGUGCGGAAUAUUGGACAAUGGGGGGAACCCUGAUCCAGCCAUGCCGCGUGUGUGAAGAAGGCCUUAUGGUUGUAAAGCACUUUAAGCGAGGAGGAGGCUCUUUUGGUUAAUACCCAAGAUGAGUGGACGUUACUCGCAGAAUAAGCACCGGCUAACUCUGUGCCAGCCGCCGCAGUAAUAC
rnacentral:rRNA from 1 species